rnacentral:rRNA from 1 species
UAGGGAAUCUUCCACAAUGGACGAAAGUCUGAUGGAGCAACGCCGCGUGAGUGAUGAAGGUUUUCGGAUCGUAAAACUCUGUUGUAAGGGAAGAACAGGUAUGAGAGGUAAUGCUCAUACUAUGACGGUACCUUACGAGAAAGCCACGGCUAACUACGUGCCAGCAGCCGCGGUAAUACGUAGGUGGCAAGCGUUGUCCGGAAUUAUUGGGCGUAAAGCGCGCGCAGGCGGCCUUUUAAGUCUGAUGUG